CUGAUUCCACACGCAGAAUUACUCAGUAUGUGGCUUAGAUAGAGAUAGAGAUAGAAAUACUAGAAUAUAUAGAGCACCCUCCAUUCCAACGCAAUUCUCGAAGUCGCUCCAAGUUCCGAGUUCCAACCAGUGCGUACACCAAGUCCAAAAGAAUAGAGACAAAUACUGUAGCUUCCCCGCCCAAUUAGCGGAGAUCCAAUCUCUUCAGAAUUACAGCCUUUUUCAGCCCUUUCAGGGUUAUUAACUAGUAAGUAGACUUGCUAGUAGCUAGCUUAGCCUUAGCUAGU
rnacentral:lncRNA from 1 species